UGCGUAGGUGGUUUCUUAAGUCAGAGGUGAAAGGCUACGGCUCAACCGUAGUAAGCCUUUGAAACUGGGAAACUUGAGUGCAGGAGAGGAGAGUGGAAUUCCUAGUGUAGCGGUGAAAUGCGUAGAUAUUAGGAGGAACACCAGUUGCGAAGGCGGCUCUCUGGACUGUAACUGACACUGAGGCACGAAAGCGUGGGAGCAACA
rnacentral:rRNA from 1 species